rnacentral:rRNA from 1 species
UUCCUACGGGAGGCAGCAGUGGGGAAUAUUGGACAAUGGGGGAAACCCUGAUCCAGCAAUGCCGCGUGUGUGAAGAAGGCCUGCGGGUUGUAAAGCACUUUCAGUAGAGAAGAAAAGCCUAGGGUUAAUAACCCUGAGUCUUGACGUUACCUACAGAAGAAGCUCCGGCUAACUCCGUGCCAGCAGCCGCGGUAAUACGGAGGGAGCGAGCGUUAGUCGGAAUUACUGGGCGUAAAGCGCACGUAGGCGGCUUUGUAAGUCGGAUGUGAAAGCCACGGGCUUAACCUGGGAAUGGCAUUCGAUACUGCAGAGCUAGAGUAUGGUAGAGGGAAGUGGAAUUUCCGGUGUAGCGGUGAAAUGCGUAGAUAUCGGAAGGAACACCGGUGGCGAAGGCGACUUCCUGGGCCAAUACUGACGCUGAGGUGCGAAAGCGUGGGUAGCAAACAGGAUUAGAUACCCUGGUAGUCCACGCCGUAAACGAUGAGGACUAGAUGUCGGGAGGAUCUGCCCUUCGGUGUCGCAGCUAACGCGUUAAGUUCUCCGCCUGGGGAGUACGCCGGCAACGGUAAAACUCAAAGGAAUUGACGGAA